GGAGAAAAGGAAGGGAAUGGGGAAGGGGAGGAUGAGGGAAGGAAGAAGGGCAAGGGAAAGAGGAAGAGGAAGAAGGAGAAGGGCAAGGGGAAGAAUACAAAUAAGAAAUUCAGUCCAUCACAGGUGGCAAAAGAAAGGCUCAAAGAUGAAGAAUUUGAUUUGGGCUGGCGCUGCCAGCUCCAUUCAGGCCCUCCCAGGUGAAACAUCCAGGCCUGAGCACUGAACUUGGAUUCUGCAUGCAGAGGCCAGGAUGUUGUGUUCACAGGAAUUGCCCAAUAUUUUAAAACUUUUUAUUUUAUUACAUAGCUUCUGGGCACUGAAGUCCUCCGUGCCUCAUCAUCCACUUGACUGGUUAGAACUGAAAAUGCUCCAGAAGACCAGAAUAAUUUUGGUUUCAGACAGGAAUGUCAUACACCUUAAAGCAAACAUUUUUUAGCAGUUGGCAGUAUUGACCCGAAACACGUCAGCUGCCCCUUUGGACACUUCACUGGUGGCAAGAUUUUUUCCCAUGUGAAAAAUGCACUUGAAGGCCUACCCGGGGGAGAUGUUUGGGACGUGCCAGCUCCACCCCAGCUCUCUGGCUGGGAACAAGGGGCAUGGGUAGGGGAGCGCCAUCCCAUGAGACAGCAGCAAUUGCUAUCUCAAAGGGCCAAAAAUCAGGUAUUUUUUGUCACCCUUCCUUUUCACAGCAUUUUUUUGAAAGCCUGUUGUCAGAGGGUAAGGAGGAGUGAGUAUAUUUGGUCAGACAAAGCUGGCCACGGGAGGAACUUCUGCUGGUAAAACGUUCCUCUUGGAGCCCUGCUCUCCAUGAUGAAAGCUCAAUGCAGUUUGCCAUGCUUCACCUUAAAUUUAAGGUCUGGAUCAAGUGGUAGUGAAACCCUAACCUGGAAGAAACACGUUUAGAAACACUCAGCUCUGCUCCGGCCUGCCACAGCCAGACGAGGUGCUGGACAGCCUGGCCUGCCCUGUUCACUUCAUCUUUGCCUCAUCGCAGCUGUGUUUGUACCUGGGUGCCAAGAAGGAUGAAUUUAGUCCUCCAAGAGCCUUGAGUCUCAAAAUCCCCUCACGCCCACUGCUGCAGAUAUAGGGAGUUAGGAAACUUAACGGAUUGGGAGCAACGGAGAGGCAAAGGAGGAGGCCAGCAGGCAAAGGGAGAGAGUAAAAAUGGAUCGGCCUCGUCCUUGGCCUCGGGGUUGGAGAUGGGGCCCAGAUACCAAGCAAGAACCUAAGGUGCUUCAAAGUGACACCUUAAUUAGGGGCCUCAGGUAAAUGGUGAUCGAAGGAGCGUAGGUUUGACUGAGAAUCGUGGUGGAGGAAAGGGAAAGCUGAUCGUGUAAUUCUCAAGGGGAUUGGUUGUACCGAGCAAACCAGGUGCUUCUAAUGGCAAGCUUCCAGGGUGAGUUUGCAGAAGAUCGGGCAAAAAGUGUGGGUCAGGCUGGGGAAUUGUGUGGGAAAUGAUGAAAGGGACACAAACGCAGCAUCAGGGAUGGAGAAUUAAGUGGGCCUUGUCGUGGCUAUGCAGAAACACAGCCCCACGAGAGCACGGGUCCGGGUGAGAGGAGCCACGGCCUGCAAUGCUGUGCCUGGGAAGUGUCCUGGGGGUGCCAGCAGUGACGGGAAGGAAAUGGGAGCAUCAAAAGCCUGCACAAGGGUGGGGUGGCAGUUUCCUCUAGGUCAUUAGGUUCAGCUGUGGAUAAGGACAGGGAUUUCUGUGCUGUUGUCAUACAGCUGAUGCCACCAAGUGUGGGAUUAGUGUCCCUAACGAAGCCCUUCACCUCCCGUCCUGUUGCUGGUGGCCACGAGGUGCAGCCACUCCUGGACACAACGGGCUGGUUUCCUCACUGAAGUGCCCUCAAACCAGCAAAAGGGGAGACUUUCUUGCUUGGCUUUGAUAAGGCGUAAGGACAUUAGAGAGGAAUUUGUCAUAGAAAAUAUCUUGGCUCAAGUGCCCUCGAGGCAUCUCAGUGCCUUAAAUCAUAAAGAAGUUAGCUUGACACUAACUUUUUCAGAGGGGGAAUUUAGAGAAAUUAAGGGAAUUAGUCAUAGAAAUCAAAUGAGCUGACAACAAUCUGGAUCAUAUAUCCCAGGCAAGAGAGGAGAACUCUCAGGGGAAGGGCCAAAGCCUUAAUUGGAUGAAGAAUUACCACAAAGAGAAAAUUAGGAAUAACCACAAGACUGCAGUGAAUGGAAAAAGGGAUUAACCAGCAAAGAGAGUUUUAUGUUAAAGGUCAGGAAGUGUAACAUGAGAAUCGCCAAAGUCAAGCUGUGUUAGAUCUUGCAAAGGAAAUUAAAACAACUAGUAAAAUGUUCGUGAGUCAUAAAUGAGAAAAGAACAAAGAAAUGUGGCUUCUGCUUGCCCAGGAUGUGGUGGAGCUUAAAGAUACUAAAACUACAUCCCGCAAAUGAGGUGGCUGCUCUGUGUCAGGCUUUGGGAAGAAAGAGGAUGCUGAAUCCCAGGACAAAAUGAAGAUGGAUGAGGGACAUCAGGAUAUGGAAAUGACCACAUCUAAACGGAAAGAAAAUCUCAAAGAGCUGAGUGCGUGCAAAUUGGAGGAGCUGGACCAGCUCCAUCCCAGAGCCAGGGAAGAAAGGGCCAUCAAACUGCAAGUCCAACAGCAAGUGAUUGAAAUUAAUCUGUGGUGUUUCAGAACUGGUGCUGGAAAAAAGUAAUUUAAGAAAGGCAAGAAAGAUGCCUUGGGCAACUACAGCUCUGCUUGUCUACAGUAAGUCUGCCAAAUGAAAUUCUUGCCCGAGAACUCUGUGAGCUUUCCUGAGUAAUUGAUUUUCUAGACAAAAGAGAGGCAUUCAGUCAAACCUCUCUGGACUUUUGGUACAUUUUUUUAAGGCAUCCCACGUGAAUUUGUUAGCUAAAAUUGGGAAGACAAUCUCUUUUAGUGAGAGGAAACUGUGAGAUAAGUAGCAAAUGGACUAAGGGAUCAGUGUUUCAGAAAAGUUUUUCCCAGGCUGCAAGGAGCUGCCUACUGGAGAUCCUCAAAGAUGGGUCUUGGGUUACACUUCGUAUUUCUGGCAAUGCCAUUGGCACAAUGAGUUACCUGCUAGUGGAAUUUGUGGUAUCAUAAAGUGGAAUAAUAGACAUAGGAUGAAAUUUAAUGGGAUAAAAAGCCUGAGUUUGUGUAAAAUGGUAAUGUUCACUAAAACACAGGCUAUAUAUAUUUUUUUUUUCAAAUGCUGGAGAGAGGUGAUGGUGAUGAUCCAUCAGCAUGAUGGAGAACCGAGGUACCCUCACAGGAGCAUCAAGCACCUGUUUGCCUCCUGCCAUGGAAGAGGGGGAACCACUGGGCUCAUCCACAUCCAAGGGAAAACAAACCUAAACUGGGACAGUGAAGCUGAGCCAAGCCACGCAGUCCGUGCCCACAGAGAGGAGAAAAGCAGUGGCUUGGUGUUUGUAGCUUGCAGGACAGGGGCUGAGCAGGGAUGGGCUUGUCUCCUAUCAAAACAUGCCUGGAGGAGGGUGGACAUCAACCAGGACAGGAGGAGCCAGGAGGUCUGCUUAGAGAAAACCCCACAAGAGUGCAUUUUUCCUACUGUGUUUCUGUUUGCAGAUACCCCAGCUCCCAUCCAGGACCCUCCAGAGAAAGUGCUGAAGGACAGAGCUCGAAUCCACAUUGGGGAGCUGACACGAUGGGGAACCCACACUGGAUGGAAACCACCAAAGGGCCUUUUGAAUCAGUUUUUAUUUUUUUCCUCCCUACCUUGAAGCAAGAACGUGUUAAAUAACCCCACCUGGGGGACAGGGGUGCCCACUUCCAGCCUCCAGAUGGAAAGCGCCGUGGUGCUCUCAUCCCAAGCACUUGUCUCUGUGUCCCCAUUUCCCUGGCCAUAAAGGACUGAUGGAUGCUCCAACCCAACAGAGCUUUAUGAACAGGGACUGAAAGGGCCAAGAGCUGUAAAUACGCUCGGUAACUGCAAGCCGUGGGGCUGCCUGCAUGGUCCCAAAUAACUCCAGUGGGGUCACCCAGAAACCCCUGAGCCACUUGUGCAUGGCUCAGCCCCCCUGAGGGCACCCUCUGCCCAAAAUCCCUGCCUCGUGCUUUGUGCAGCAGCUCUUGUGAGCUGCUGAGCACAACCCCCACGGAGCUGCUCCAUCGCGGGAGGCCAGCAGCACGUGCUCCAGCCUGAGCCCUGGCGACUCGCCGCCCUGCCCGGCUGCCCUGGCCACGCUGACGUACAUUAUACUUCUUUUUUCCAGGAAAAAAGGAUUCCCUAUUGAUGCCGCAGGCCUCUUCCCACAAGGUCCCUGCCAAGACAAGCAGUUGUUUGAGCAAUAGGAGGGAAACCAGCCCCGCUGCGAUCGCCGUGCUGUGCCUUUGCCCCAGACUGCUGCGCCUGAAGCCCUCUGCCUGCGGCGGUGCCAUCUGGAGCCAGCGAAAUCAUCCCUGGGGAGCAGUCGGGGGACACGGAGGGGUCCUCUCUGCCACAUGCGCCCUUGGUGUCCCCAGGCAGCCUCAGGACCUGGCUCCCCAGCACCCAGCCCGGCGGGGUAGGGCACAGCCCUCGCUGUGGUAGUGGAGGAAACCACAAGAAAUCCUCUCUUCAUCCAGCACAGCCACCUGGGGACGAUGCCUCGGUGCUACAGGCUCUGCUCCAGCCUUACCGCCCCAGGUGAGAGCUUUGCAGGUGUGUAGGCCAACGGAGAGCAAAACCACCCGGGAAAUGCUAAAACGUUAAAAACCUGCAGGGAGAAACCUUCUGAAUACAGCUUUUACCACCUCGGAGGCACAAGAGGGAUUCCUCCUGGAAUGGAGGGCCCAGGACGCUCCUGAUGCCACCAAAGGCUGGGUCCUUGGGGUCAGACCCACACGUGGAGCAUCUCCAGAGCUGCGUGGACCAGACCGUGCCUUUCUGUGGCCAGAAAGCACCCCCUGGUGUGCUGCCCAGCAUCCAGCAGCCCCUUCACCCCGAAUACAGCUCGCUCUGCCCAAAAGCCAACCCAGCAAAGCCAAUCUUCCCCCGGUUCAUCUGCCCUCAAGGCAAGGCAUGGCUUUUGCUCUUUUCUUCUGGUUUGCCUGAAGAAAAAGGGCUCUAUUCCUGGGAAAGCUCCCCGCUUACUAGAAAUGACCUUCAUGCAAAACACGGCCGCUGCAUAAACACACGAUAUUCUAAAUAUUAUUAGAGCCAAAAUAUCCGUGUUGCCACGACCCAGCAGCUUGCCUAAGUGCCAGCAGUUCCAGGAGAACUGAAAGCUCUCUUCUUUUUUUUUUUAUUGGAAAGUGGGUUUUCCCACCCCAACCCUUCCGAAGCAGCGGGUUGAAAUGUUUUGCUUGACUCAGUGUUGUCUUUUCCUUAAAACUCCUAAACCACCAAACCCUCGAGCAGGGGUUUUGCAGCGGGGGGCACCAGAGGAUGGCCGCGGGGAGCUGAGGGCCUGCAGGGAGCACGCCUGGAUCGCUUUUGAGCUGGUUGCUCGAUGGUUUUAUAAGGAAAACACACGCCCGAGAUAAUGUUUAAACAAAGCACAGAAAAAUCUGAUGCUGCUCCUCGCUGCUGCUGAGGGCUGUGCCCUGCAAGAUAAACACUGCUGCUCGGAGAGGAGGCAAAAACGCGGCGUGUAAAUUAAGCAGGGGCAAGAAAACAUGCAGUUUAUAUUGAACGGGCUUGUUUUCAUUUCUUUCCCUUGUGAUCCCUGUCCUUGCCUUGACCCUUCUCGCCGUGCCCUACAGCCUGUAGGAUGUAGGAGCUGGCAGGACAGAGAGGGGUCAGUGCAGAAGGCACCCUGACCCCCGCGGGGUGGCUCUCUCUGCCAUUGCCCUGUGCUGUACCAGGAGUGCAAGGCUCAGUUUUGGGAGCUGGAUCUUCAAAGAAAUGAGAAGGAAGGGAACAGGGGGCUGCUUUUGUGAGCGCUGGGCUCCCUCUGCCAGCCCCACAGCCGGGGAGGAGUCGCCCUGAGGGAGCAGCCCUGGUGGGAAGGGGUCAGCUUGGGCACCGUGACCCCGAGGAGCAGCCAGGCACGGUGCAACGAGGGACAUUGUGUGGGGGAAUUUGGGCAGCACAGCUCGAAACCUGCUGAAGGGGCAUAAAUAAGUGGUUGGGAGAAAAUGAGAGAGUGGGCUUCAGGGCAGCGUCUCGAAGAGUUCGGGGAGCACAGCUGCAGGACAGGGGGCUGGGUGGGUACCAGGACCCCGUCUUGGUCAGCUCCUGAUGCUGAAAGACAGCCUGGAGGUCUCGGGAGAGAGCAGCACAGCUCCUCCUCUCAUUUCAUGUCCUUUUUGGGUGUUUUCUCCAGAUUUCCAGCCCUCACAGCACUGAUAAAAGACCUUCAGCAAAGCAGAGGAUAUCAUAAGCAUAUAUUUGGGGGGGGGUCUCUCCUCCUUCUCUGCCCUGGAGGCUCUCAUGCAGCACCCAAACCACAACUGUCCCUUUUGCUUCCUCCUGACACCACCGAGCUCCCCAGCAGAUCCCAGAGACUCUGCAAGGAGCAGGCCCACACUGUGGCUGCUGAUGCCAGGAGGCAAGAUCUGCUCCAAGCCGUGCUGGAGAUGGUGCUGCAUCCGUCUAUAGGCACCUAUAUGGACUGCAAGGCUGCCAUGGUGCCCAGUGCCAAAAUUCAGGUUGUCUUGCACCAGGCAUCGCCUGCAGAUACCCAGCUUCUCUCCGUUCCCAGCUCAGAAGAAAAAGGAAAAGAAGUAGCUUUAUAUGAGGUGUCUGGGUAUGGAUUUUGAAUUAGCACUGAUUUUCUGUCUUAUUGAAUGCUGAGUGGAAAGAAUAAAUAAAUACAUAAAUAAAAGACAUAUCCAGUGCCUCGCUUGUCAUUUAAAUCUAGGCAUUAAAAGGAAAGGAAAGGAGCUGAAGCCAGGAGCAGAAACCAAGCCCCGGACUCCCUCCUUUGCUGGCAGAGACUGGCUUAGCAGAAGCCUUGGGGCAUCCCUGAGGACAGCUCGGGGGCAGAUCUCGAUUUGCUGACAAAUCUCUCCUGGAGAGGAGCAGCUGCUGGGUGAGGGCUGUCCCCAUGCCACCCAUCACAGCGGCCCAUGGGAGCCCAGCCACCACCUCCAUUUCCCCCUGGCAGGGGCAGAUCCUGCCCCGCGCUCAGCAGGAACGGAGGAGGCUGGCUCCUGGGAUGUUUGGGAUAUUCCAAGAAAGCCUCGGGUUUAGGGUUAUUUCCAUUGAGGAAACACGUUUCACUAAAUAAAGAAUUCCAAGCAUUUAGGAGCGUCCUGGUCUCGCUCCGCCACUCAAAACCCAGAGCAACGCCUCCACCACAGGAUUUGUUCCUCAGCCUUCUGCUCGCAGAGCAUCGCGAGGCAGAAAUCAGAGCUUCAAAACCUCCCGUUCGCCUUUCCAGAUCCUCUUGACCGACCGCAGGCCCAGAAGCUGCUCAGCGUUUUCCUGCAGAUCACAGACGGGCCUUGAACAUCUCCAGAGAAGGAGACCCCAACGGCCUCCCUGGGCCUGUCCCAGCGCUGCCACCCUCACCUCAGGUGCUGAGCGCGUUGGUUUGCUCCGGGACUCACCUUUUGCAGCAGCCGAGUGCUGUGAGGAGAGGCCGGAUGGGUCCAUCUGAUAAGGAUCCUUAUCAGAUCGUUCCUGAGCUUGGCUGGGACACAGGGACAGCUCCUCACAGUCCCAUAGGUGCCUCCACUCACACCGGUGCUGCCGUUCCCAACCUCCCCUCGGUGCAAAGUUAACAUCCCAGCCAGACCCAGUACACAGAGCAGGGUUUUCCUUCAGGGGGCAAGCUCAUCCUGCAAGGAACAUGCAGGAGGUCGGUGUCAGGAUUCGACCAGCCUCCCCAGCAGUCCUUCAGCACCCGAUGCUUCACAGACCCAACCACAUAUGUGCCACAAAGUCCAACGGGGCCACCCAGAUGGGAUCCCAGGUGGGAUUUUCCAUCUGGGGAAUGGUUUUAAGCUGAAAGAGGGGAGAUUUAGAUUGAUAUUAGGAAUUCUUCACUCACUUUUUUUUUCCCCUUUGUUUUUAAAUCACCAGGGCACAGUUCCCACCUGCAAGAUCAAAUCGUGGUAAGAUCGGUGACCGUAAGCUUCUGCUCCCGGGGAAAAAGCCCCUAUGGCACAUCCAUACUUUUCUCAUGCCCUUUCAGCACAUCCCAGCUCUUCAAACUGAAGCGAUUUACAAACCAGGCAGCCACUUGUUCAUUUGCAAUCUCAUUUCCCUGCAGGUCACAGAAUCAGGCAGCUUUCUUCAGCUACAUCCUGCAAUGUGCCCGAGCCUGAAAUUCUUGAAAGCCAACCCUCUAGGGUCUCAGUCAACGGGGGAAAGCAGCAUAAGAGUAAAAUGUAUGUGGCUGAAAAAAACAUGAUUUUUUUUUCUUUUAUUUUUAAGUGACUUGGGCACCUAUGGAAACAAUCUUUUCCUUUCUGCUUCCUCUCAGUUGAAAAGAAGAGCUCCAGGAGCCUUCCUUGUAGAAGCACGACAUUUCCAGCUGUGCCUAUUUGUGCUCUGCUUAAAUCCUACCUUGGGGGACGUCAAGAAUGGCAAUGAGACUGUAUUCGCUUCUAGGGAUGAACAGAGGAUUGUUUAAGAACAUCACUUUGCCUAGAGAAAAAGCAGCUGAACUUACACUGAAGGACAGGCUUUAUUUCUUUGGGGGAAAAAAAAAAAAAAAAAAAAGCUUUUCUGCCUCCCACCCCCAAUAAAU